AAUUUAAAUUGUUUAAUUUUAAAUUUUAAAAUUUGAUAUUUUAAAUUUUUUUAUUUAGAAUUUGAUAUUUUGUAUUUUUAAAUUAAAAUUUCAUCUUAAAUUUAAAUUUUAAAAUUUAAAUUUUUUAAAAUUGUAAAUUUAAGAUUUUAAAAUUUUAAAAUUUAAAAGUUUAUACUUUAAAUUCUAAAAUAUAAAUAUAAAAUAUAAAAAUUUAAAUUCUAAUAUAAAGAAAGGGAUAAUAUUAUUAUUUUUUUAUUUAUAACUACCCACUUUAAUUCUUAUUUCAUCUUACCUUAUUCCCAAAAUAACCUAAUUUUCAUCCAAACAUAAAAUUAAUCUAAUCCCCGGUUAUACCUCAAUUUAUAGUUAUCCAUGAAAUAACCAUUUUUUGCUUAUCCCUGAACCAAACGGUACCCAAAUGUUUAAAAUUCUAUUUGCGUUUCCAGAAUAGAAAAAUUGAUAGUCAAGGGUGCAAAUCUUAUACCUAUUUUACGGGUAUAAAAAGUAUGGAAACACCUUGAUGGGUAAGUUAUUUUCAAAUGAACCCCUUAACUUCCAAUUUGGUGCAAUCAAGUGAACUUUUACCAAAAAGAACUAAAAAUUUGAAAGUGAAGAAGGUCUCAAUAACAAGAGAGAAAUGCUAUCUUCCCUAGAUAUAAAUCUUAUACCCACUUUUCUAACAGCUUGGUUAUUGUUUUUUAAUCUCUUGUAUUAAAAUAUAAUAAAAAGAUUAGCAGAAGUUAUUGAUACUUUGAUAGAUAAGAUAUAAGAGUUGCACGAACAUUGAUUGUCCAAGUUGAGGGGUCACCAUAACAUUUUUGGGAUAAUUGUCUAUGUACCCCUCAAAACCUAUAAAUAUUUUAUUUAUCCCUUUCAAAUAUUUCCCCUCAUAUAUUUCUGCGUUACUUAAAAGUAUUUCUGCUGUUCGUGCCCAUUAAGUUAUCUCGGAUUAAUUAUGAGUUGAAUUUCUACCAUAGUUAAAAAAUAAUAAAAAUACCUAUUUUGCUCCUAAAUUAGGGAUAAAUAAGAAUAGCCGGUGGCGGUAAAGGGUAUAUUUAGAAAGGCAAAAUGUCAAAAUAUUUUUUUUGUGCUUGACUUAAGGACAAACAAGAAAAGUUUGUGACGGUAAAAGUGUAUAUUUAAAAGGAUAAAAUCACAAUUUUACAUAAAUAAUGGCUUUUUCUAACAAUUCACUAAUAGAAUUUAACUCUAAAAUAUAUUUGAAAAACUUUUGAACCUUAAAAGAGUAUUUUUAAUAUUAACCUCCUAAGAGAGAUAGAUAAGAAGUUGAAAAAUUUUCAGAAGUAUAAAAAAAUUACCCUAUUUUUAUCUAAUAAUAAAUGAAGUGAUGUAGAGGAAGUCUAUUAUAUCACACUUGUACCGUAUCAUCAAUAACAAGUUAAUCACAUAUAUUCUUUUGAAAAAAAAUAAUAAUAAAAAUAUUUUUUUUAUAAUAAUGAUAAGACCGGUAAAUUUUUUAAAAUUUAUUUAAUUAGUUGGAAACACCAGUUCACUAAUAUAACCAGUAUAUUCUCGAAUUU
rnacentral:lncRNA from 1 species